rnacentral:rRNA from 1 species
AUUGAACGCUGGCGGAAUGCUUUACACAUGCAAGUCGAACGGCAGCACGGGGGCAACCCUGGUGGCGAGUGGCGAACGGGUGAGUAAUACAUCGGAACGUGCCCGGUCGUGGGGGAUAACGUAGCGAAAGUUACGCUAAUACCGCAUACGAUCUGAGGAUGAAAGCGGGGGACCUUCGGGCCUCGCGCGAUCGGAGCGGCCGAUGUCAGAUUAGGUAGUUGGUGGGGUAAAGGCCUACCAAGCCGACGAUCUGUAGCUGGUCUGAGAGGACGACGAGCCACACUGGGACUGAGACACGGCCCAGACUCCUACGGGAGGCAGCAGUGGGGAAUUUUGGACAAUGGGCGCAAGCCUGAUCCAGCCAUUCCGCGUGCAGGACGAAGGCCUUCGGGUUGUAAACUGCUUUUGUAUGGAACGAAAAGGCUCUGGCUAAUACCUGGGGCUCAUGACGGUACCGUAAGAAUAAGCACCGGCUAACUACGUG